CUGCACUGCCUUUGACCCGGCGGGGCCCGCCUGGCGCCGCCGGCCAAGCAGCGGUGCUACAGCAAAGCGCUUGUUCAUAACUGGCGCUGCUCGGCCCCACCCGGGCGGUGCUUUUAAAAACAAGUGACAAUU
ensembl:snoRNA